CCUGACUGCUAUCGGAUUGAUACUAAGCCAUGCGAGUCUUUGUAGCAAUACAAGGCAGACGGCUCAGUAACACGUAGUCAAUCUACCCUAUGGACGGGGAUAACCUCGGGAAACUGAGAGUAAUACCCGACAGAUCAUUAUGCCUGGAAUGGUUUAUGGUUUAAAUGAUUUAUCGCCGUAGGAUGGGACUGCGGUCUAUCAUGCUUGUUGGUGAGGUAAUGGCCCACCAAGGCUAUAACAGGUACGGGCUCUGAGAGGAGAAGCCCGGAGAUGGGUACUGAGACACGGACCCAGGCCCUAUGGGGCGCAGCAGGCGAGAAAACUUUGCAAUGUGCGAAAGCACGACAAGGUUAAUCCGAGUGUUUCCUGCUAAAGGAAUCUUUUGUUAGUUGUAAAACCACUGAUGAAUAAGGGGUGGGCAAGUUCUGGUGUCAGCCGCCGCGGUAAAACCAGCACCUCAAGUGGUCAGGAGGAUUAUUGGGCCUAAAGCAUCCGUAGCCUGCUUUGUAAGUUUUCGGUUAAAUCCAUCAGCUCAACUGAUGGGCCGCCGAAAAAACUGCAAAGCUAGGGAGUGGGAGAGGUAGACGGUACUCGAUAGGAAGGGGUAAAAUCCUUUGAUCUAUUGAUGACCCCCUGUGGCGAAGGCGGUCUACCAGAACACGUUCGACGGUGAGGGAUGAAAGCUGGGGGAGCAAACCGGAUUAGAUACCCGGGUAGUCCCAGCUGUAAACGAUGCAGACUCGGUGAUGCCCUGGCUUGUGGCCAGUGCAGUGCCGCAGGGAAGCCGUUAAGUUUGCCGCCUGGGAAGUACGUACGCAAGUAUGAAACUUAAAGGAAUUGGCGGGGGAGCACCACAAGGGGUGAAGCCUGCGGUUC
rnacentral:rRNA from 1 species